GAUGAACGCUGGCGGCGUGCCUAAUACAUGCAAGUCGAGCGAACGGACGCGAAGCUUGCUGUGCUGAUGUUAGCGGCGGACGGGUGAGUAACACGUGGAUAACCUACCUAUAAGACUGGGAUAACUUCGGGACACCGGAGCUAAUACCGGAUAAUAUUUUGAACCGCAGGGUUCAAAAGUGAAAGACGGUCUUGCUGUCACUUAUAGAUGGAUACGCGCUGCAUUAGCUAGUUGGUAGGGUAACGGCUUACCAAGGCAACGAUGCAUAUACGAACUGAUAGGGUGAUCGGCGACACUGGAACAGGGACACGGUCCAGACUCCUACGGGAGGCAGCAGUAGCGAAUCGUCCGCAAUGGGCGAGAGCCUUGCGGAGCAGGGCCGCGUGAGUGAUGAAGGUCUUCGGAUCGUAAAACUCUGUUAUUAGGGAAGAACAUAUGUGUAAUUAACUGUGCACAUCGUGACGGUACCUAAUCAGAAAGCCACGGCUAACUACGUG
rnacentral:rRNA from 1 species